CAUAGGUGUUUGCGGAAGUGUCAUACUGAGUUGUUUAAGUUUCCUGUGAGUGAAAUAGUGUUAAGAAUUACCACUGGGAUAUUUUUAUAGUUUUUGUAAUGAUUGUAUUUGAAGAAACUUGUUCAAUAUGUCACAGUAAAUUUAAAUAAGUUAUUUUACACGUUUGAGAUUAGACUGUGGAAUUAUGGAUUUAACUAACAAGGUGCCUUAGAUCAGCUGAAUUGUGGGGUCUGAUGCUUGUUUAUACAGUAGGUUGUUUAACUAAUUCUAAGGAAGGAUUUCAUCAACAUUGUUCAAAUGGAAGGAAGAAGGAAACUCUCCAAAUUAGUGAUAAACACAGAAGAAGGAAAUAUCCCUUCUGUCACCCCUCCAAGGAAUCUGGAUAAACGAACAACAGUCACAAUUGACGAUCAAGUAGUUGAAGUAGAAGCAGAUGAUUUGGAAACUUUGUGUACAUUGGGUAGAGGUGCGUACGGUGUUGUAGAGAAGAUGCUGCACAGACCAAGUGGAACAGUAAUGGCAGUAAAGAGGAUUACUGCAACUUUCAGUAGUUCGGAAGAGAAGCGACUUCUGAGGGAAUUGGAUAUCUCUAUGAGAAGUGGUGAUUGUGAUUUUACCGUACAAUUCUAUGGAGCUCUCUUUAGAGAGGGUGAUGUGUGGAUUUGUAUGGAAGUAAUGGAUACUUCUCUCGACAAAUUCUCCCAGUUAGUGUACAAGGCCAAUAGAACCAUUCCUGAAAACAUUCUUGGACAGAUUGCAUUUGCUGUUGUAAGUGCUCUGCGUUAUCUACAUAAAAAUUUGCGAGUCAUGCACCGUGAUGUAAAGCCUUCCAAUAUUUUGGUCAGCAGAAAAGGAGAGGUCAAGAUGUGUGACUUUGGGAUCUCGGGUCAGUUAGUGGACUCCUUAGCUAAAACCAUGGAAGCUGGUUGCAAACCCUACAUGGCUCCUGAAAGAAUAAAUCCAGAGCGCCAAGGCCGUGGAUAUGACAUUCGUUCUGACAUAUGGAGCCUAGGAAUAACAAUGAUUGAACUGGCAACAGGGAAAUUUCCAUAUUCAACCUGGGGAACUCCGUUUGAACAAUUGAAACAGGUAGUCAAAGACGAUCCUCCUAGUCUUCCUCCUGAUCAGUUUACUAAUGAGUUUGAAGAAUUCAUUAAUCAGUGCCUGCAAAAGGACUACACGAAGAGGCCUUACUACAGCCAGCUCUUGAAACAUCCCUUCCUGACAACACACUCACAACUAGACUCCUCUUUAGCAGAAUUUGUGAAUGAAAUUCUUGACUCUGUACAUGACUACCCUACUGAGAGUCAAUAAUUAUCAUCACUUUAUAACGGAAUUAAUUUUGCCACUUGACUGCUCCGACUGACGGGCAAUAAUGAUCAUCAGUGAAUAACGGAAUUAAUUUUGCCACUUCACAAGUAGGGUGAAAUAGUUGUUAAAAAAGCAUUCCUUCAUAAAAUUCAUACUUCAGAUUUUGCCAUGAAAAUAUUGUGUACCCACUAUGUUCAUGCAGCUUUCAUUUAGUGAUUUCAUUAAUUCUUAAUUAGAGGAGAAAGAAGUUGCUUCAUAUAUGUAUCAUUCAUCGUGUGGUUUUUGGUUUUAAAAUAACUUAAGUACACGUAGUACAUUUCCAGAAUCCCAUGUUUAACCACCCACUGGCAAUUAGAUCAUCUGAAAAUGAAAGCUUUAAAAUUCUUUAUAUUUCUAUUAGGGGCCUCAUUUUAACAUGAAAAAGUAUAAAAUUUGUAGCAUAAUUAAUGAUGACCCUUUUGUUUUUUUUAUCGUUAUCACUUCACUAAUGAGUUUGAAGAAUUCAUCAAUCAGUGGUGAGAAUCUACUUUUGAAGUAUUUUUUUAAGCGCUGAACUGAAAUAGCUUGUCGUUCUCAUAGAUUUAUUAUUCAGUGAAAUUAGACAUGCUUCAUAAAAUAUCAAAAAUAGGUUAUACCAUCAGAACUCCUGGAGAGUCUCAAACACUGUCAGUGUAUUCACACCAGGCUACUUACCACACCACUGACAUUUCAAAUAUUCCUAAUUCAUGGAUGAUGUAUGGAAAAACGUGUACAAGACAGGCGGUGUUACUCAGAAGCAAGAUGCAUCAUAUUUACUUGUAUCGAUUAUGAAGUGUAAAAAUGUGUGUAACCAUGAAAUAUUGAACAUGUAAGAGUAAUAAUGUUCCAAAUGUUGUUAGUAUUCAGUUAAUAGUUAAGGAGUAAUUGUGUAAUAGAUUACUACCCUGAUAAUGAGUUUGUUUGGUGGAGCUGCUUGAAACAGUAGUGCUACUGUUUGCUUGUCUUUACAUUGCAAGAAGUGGACUAUUGUAUGUGUGCUGUCUUAUUACAACAAAGAUGCAUGUUUAGUUAAUUCUGACUAAAAUAUUUUCAUCGUAUUGAACACGCUGAUGAUGUGCAUAGUAUCGAUUGUUAUUACUAAUGUGAAAACUCUGUAGUCUUAGGUGUAACUAUUUGUAAAGUAGAUACUCAAACAUUGCAUUCCUAUUCAGCUUAAUUAAAAUUGAAUUGUUUGUACAUGGACAGUACAUGAAAAAAAUACUGAAAUGGUGUUAGAUUUUACUAAAUCAUGUAAUGGGAACAUUGUUGGCCAAUUACCUUUUACAAACCUGUUUUUAAUUAAUACUAGCUAACCAGUGGGCCUAUAGCCCACAUUUACAGGGCUGCUAUAAUGCAAAUUUAAUGCUUGAACUACUGUUUUUUGCACUUUAUUCAAUUUAAUUGUCACUAUAAUGCAAAUUUAAUAUUCUUAAGCAAGUUAUGAAUGGUAAUUAUUAGGCCUACUUAUUUACAUAGGUGUUUAAUAACGAGUUGGGUGAAAAGUUUUAUAUUUGUGCAAACCACAGGACCAAAAUGAAUUAUUUGGCACCACUUAGAAGUUGAUGAAUUCAACAGUUCAGGAGAAGAGGUUUUGGGGAAAUCCCAAGAGGGGGGUGGUGAAAUAUUUUACCUUCGUGCAAACCUCUUGACCAAGACAAUUCCUUUGGUACCACUUAGAAGUUGGUGCAACAAGUGAUAUAGGAGGAGGUACAUGACACACAUACAUACACUGAAUCUUAUUAUAUAGAUAUUAAAUUUGUUUUCACAACAUCUUGUACCAAAGUUUAAUGAUGAAUAAAUUAAUUUUCAAAACAGUUUGCAGCAUGUAGUUGAUAAACCAUUACAUGAAAACUACCCAUGCUUUUCAGGACCUGAUGAUGAUUUGUACAAUUAAUAUAGAAAGACUUCCAGACUAUAAAAUAUCUUUGGCAACACUGACUACGUAUCCUGUAAGAUGUAGAAUUACAAUGUAGGUAUUACAGUUUAUAGAGUUUUACAGUUUUAUUAAGCUACUACAUUGGAGUCUUGCUAUAACAAGAUAAUCAGGAUCCAAUCAUGGGGCCAUGUUAUAGCAAUAUCCUAUUAAACUUCAACAUAAGAUAUAUUGAUUAAACACUUGAUUCACAUUGGUUAGUUAAGUUUUAGCUUGGCCUGGAAUUUUGGGGUCCACGAGAGAUUCAUGUUAUACUGAAACUUGCACUAUGGUGGUACACAUUAUAGUGAGGCUCCACUGUAUUAUAAGGCUGUAGUAUUAUUAUUCAUAAUUGUGUUGACUGGAUACAUCACUCUUGUGAAUACCAACAAAAUAAAAUUCUUCCCGAGAGUUGACAGUGGCUGUUGUGAAAUUGUUUUGAUAAACCUUUCUACUAUAAAAAGAAAUAUUAAUAAACAGUGAUGAGUAAUUGUAUAAAGACCCUUUUCAACACUGAAUUCUGUUUAAAGAAAACACUAGUACCUUCCAUUGACUCUUAAAGAUUAUAGUGCUGAAAUUAAUGACUGAGUCUUGAAGUGAUACUAGACUUUCACAAGUAAAUCUAAUGAAAUAUGUCACUCAUGGUUGAGCUUCAAGUUUCAGCACGUGAUCUUGAAACAUACUGAAAUGGUUCUAGGUAUAUAUUAAUAGUUUGUUUUCAAUGUGUAAAAUAAUUGCAUGUUACCAGUUUUAUAAAAAUAUCAUUAUAGUGGCUUAAUUGUGAAAGUUUAGAAAAUUCUUUGCAUAAUUUUGAAACUGUACUUUAAUAGUACGGGAGUAUUUGUGAUAUUUUGAAAGAGUGUAACAAAUCAACUGAUCUUAAUCUACUGUGGUUUCACUUGUUCAGUAUAGGUCUGAGUGUUGUAUUGAUAACUGUUGAUACCAAUUUAUUGUUCUCUCCUUUACCCAUCUUUUACAACAUGAACUGAAUUUAGUUUGUCACUUCCAACUUAGCUCGUCCAGUCAUUUUAAUUAAACUUGGAAGUGAUCUUUUAAGAUUUAACUUUCAGAGCUCGGUUGGUACAAGUUUCUUGUCAUUCAUGCACUGCAUUUCUCAGGUGAUGUAAAUUUGUUGUACUAAGUUUUUGUACUGAGCUUGAAUUUUCAAAACAUUUGUAGAAACAAAAUUUAUUCUAAGCAUGUGUAAGUACUAAAUGACAUUGGUCUUGGAAUCAAACUCUUAAAAUUAAUGAAAAUAAAAUCAUAGUUUUCAUUAACAGUCACAAGCUAUUCUAAGUCUCUAUUUUUAUGAUAAUAAUGGAACAUUGUUUUAAUAAAAAGUAGUUUUUUGAGAAUCACUUACUACAACAUUCCUUCAGUAUUAAAGUUUUGUAAGAUUUGUUUUGUGUGAAUAAAUUGUGUUUUGUUAAA